AUGUGCUACUGAAACACUGUUGCAUCUGCGACUGUCGGAACACUGUGGUUCAAAGCAGCCAGUCCUAGCCUUGCAGAGCAACUAGAAGCAAACAUCCAAGCCACCUUUAUGGCUGAUUUCUCUGGUUGAAGUACUUGAUUGUACUUUGUUUAACAAAGCAACCAAACCAUUCCAUGCUGGAAAAUGCCUCCAUGGAUAGUUAAUGACCAAGGGAAGGAAGACACCCAAGCAGCAUUAGAAGACAUCUUUCUCCAGCAUCUCCAGAGUGCUCGUGUGUAUACUGUAUACAAAGCAGAAAUCCUUCUUCAAGAAGAGCUUUCGAAACAGUUUUCAACCAGAUUGAGCCUGGCAAGUAUCAUAUGGUUUACUGCACCCGCUAACUACAGUUUCCCUCACUGGUUGUCCUGUCAUUCAUUCUGAAGAGCAGGUGCAUUAGUACUGGGGAAACGUGGUUCAGGCAUCUAUAAAUAGCUGGAUUUGCUGGGCAUAAUUGCUAUUUUGUAAAUGUCUGUGGAAAUAAAAUAUGGUAUUUCCCUUAAACAGCUGAAAAUAUCUCUCCUUCCUGGCCCUUCAGCCUCCACUUUCUGAUAAUCGGCCUUCCUUUCAGUCUCCAGAGCUAAGGCUAUCAAUCAUUUAUUGCCUGACGCAAAUUACUUCCCAAGGCAAACCACAGCCAUCACCUGUCCAGUAACACCUUCAUUAUUACUCAGUCUUUUUUCUCUUUUCUCAACUCCAUCUCCUUCACCCACCCUCACAAAGAAAAGGCCUGGACCAAUAUUUGUCCCAAACUCUAUAUUUUAUUUCAGAACGGAUUUUUAACUGAAUGUUCUUUUAAGGUGAAUUUCUCCCAUUCCAAAAUGAAUUAUUCUCCCAAGAAAAUAAUGCCACAUAAUUAACCCCUGUCCUCCAAAUAACAAAAGCAGAAUUACAAUAUCAAAAUAAAAUAAGCAUAUAAAUAAAAUUAUAAUAGCAACAGCGAGCAAAACAGUUAAAGAACAAGGCGUCAUGCCAAGUCCAAAUGACUUUUAAAAACCAAAGGAAUCUUUAGAGCUUUACCACAAGAAAACAAAAAGAACAAAGAUAUUUGGCCUAAGUGAAAACUGUAAAGAUGUGAGGAAGGAACAUCAGCAACAUAGGAUGAGCAGAAAACAGCAAAGACUGGAAAAAUUACUGAAGAAAAUUAAGAAAAAGUGCCAAAGAAGGUUUACAGUUGAACAUUAAGAAAACAAAAAUAAUGACCACAGUCAAUUUACAUAACUUUAAAGUAGAUAACAAAGACAUCAAAAUAAUUCAACUCUCCUUUGAAGCCAAGGU